rfam:Bosea sp. PAMC 26642, complete genome.
GCCAAGGGGUUUCACCGCGACGACCCCGUGAGGCUCCGGCCCAAGGUUCGCGUCCAUAUUCCUCGUUUCAGGAUGGACGCCCAUG